AAAAACAAAAAGAAACCCGCUUUCCUUUGUGGAUCUGCCCUCGGAUCUGCCGGGGAUCGGCCACAAACGUGGAAUAAUUAAUAUGGAAUGAUAAACAAAUGAGGAGCAGAGCGUGGCCUGGCCCCGGGGCGGCUCCCAAGGGAAGGCCACAGCCACGGCUCUUCCCAAAAACCCACCAGGUCCCUGCAGAUUUUGGGGCUCCCGGGCUCAUCCAGGAGCAGAAAAGCCACCGGGAUGCGCUGGAGAUUCCCAGAACCUGUCGGGAAUCUCAGGAUGCGAAUCCGAGCUCCGGAGCGGGGAGCUGGCUGGGGAAGGGACGGGAUCCUGCGGCAGCUCCUCCCAAACCCCGCUCCUGUCGGGGGGCAGCCCCCGAAAUGUCGGUGGGGAGCCGGGAGCGGCGGCCCCGGUGGGUUUGGAUCCCGCCUGGGAUGCGGGAACAGCGGGAUAACGGCGCUGCCCCCAGGACGGGGAAUUUCGGGAGCUGCUCCGAGCUGGGAACGGCCAAACUCAUCCCUGGCGCGGGGAAUCGCGUGUCCCCAAUCCCGGGAUUCCCGCUUGGAGCCCGGAGCCAUCCCGGAGCCGGGGGGCAGCGGCUGCCCCGGGGCUUUCCCGGGAAGGACCGGAUCGUCCGUCAGGGAACAUCCCGGGGGGAUCGGGAACGGCCCGGGCGGAGAAGGGAGCGGCUCGAGGGCCGUGACCGCGGGGGGACCGCGGGGGGACGGGAGCCCCCUCCCCGUGUCCCACCGGAGUGUCCGGGACACCGGGGCCGGGGCUGCGUGGUGGUCCUGGGGUGGCCACCGAGGUGACAGCGGGGCCGGGGGUCCCUGGGGGGCUCGGGGGGGGGUCGGGCGAUGCCCAGGUCACCCCAGGUCACCCCAGGUCACCCCGGACCUACCUAAGGGUGGUGGGGGGCAGGGCGAGCUCCGCGCGACCCGGAAAUCCCCAAUUCCCGAUGUCCCGGCCCGGAGAUUCCCGGGGUCCCGGCCCGGAGAUUCCCGGGGUCCCAGCCCGGAGAUUCCCUGUGUCCCGGCCCGGAGAUUCCCGGUUCCCCAACCCGGACAUUCCCGGUGUCCCGGCCCGGAGAUUCCCGGUUCCCGGGGUCCCGGCCCCGCG
rnacentral:lncRNA from 1 species